UACGGGGGGGGCAAGCGUUGUUCGGAAUUACUGGGCGUAAAGGGCUCGUAGGUGGCCAACUAAGUCAGACGUGAAAUCCCUCGGCUUAACCGGGGAACUGCGUCUGAUACUGGAUGGCUUGAGUUUGGGAGAGGGACGCGGAAUUCCAGGUGUAGCGGUGAAAUGCGUAGAUAUCUGGAGGAACACCGGUGGCGAAGGCGGCGUCCUGGACCAACACUGACGCUGAGUGAGCGAAAGCCAGGGGAGCAAACGGG
rnacentral:rRNA from 1 species